rnacentral:rRNA from 1 species
GACGAACGCUGGCGGCGUGCCUAAUACAUGCAAGUAGAACGCUGAAGGAGGAGCUUGCUUCUCUGGAUGAGUUGCGAACGGGUGAGUAACGCGUAGGUAACCUGCCUGGUAGCGGGGGAUAACUAUUGGAAACGAUAGCUAAUACCGCAUAAUAUUGAUUAUUGCAUGAUAGUCAAUUAAAAGGUGCAAUUGCAUCACUACCAGAUGGACCUGCGUUGUAUUAGCUAGUUGGUGAGGUAACGGCUCACCAAGGCAACGAUACAUAGCCGACCUGAGAGGGUGAUCGGCCACACUGGGACUGAGACACGGCCCAGACUCCUACGGGAGGCAGCAGUAGGGAAUCUUCGGCAAUGGACGGAAGUCUGACCGAGCAACGCCGCGUGAGUGAAGAAGGUUUUCGGAUCGUAAAGCUCUGUUGUAAGAGAAGAACGAGUGUGAGAGUGGAAAGUUCACACUGUGACGGAUCUA